rnacentral:misc_RNA from 1 species
GAUGAAGAACGCAGCGAAAUGCGAAAAGUAAUGUGAAUUGCAGAAUUCAGUGAACCAUCGAAUGUUUGAACGCACAUUGCGCCCGCUGGAACUCCGGCGGGCACGCCUGUCCGAGCGUCAUUUCAACCCUCAGGCCCCCCUUCGCGGGCGGGCCUGGUGUUGGGGCCCGGCCGCUACCCUGCGGCCGUCCCCUAAAUCCAGUGGCGGCCUCGCCGUGAUCCCUUGCGUAGUAAUGCACCUCGCACCGGAGAGCGCCGUGGCCACGCCGUAAAACCCCCAAUUUUCAAUGGUUGACCUCGGAUCAGGUGGGAAUACCCGCUGAACUUAAGCAUAUCAAUAAGCGGAGGA